rfam:Schistosoma mattheei strain Denwood, Zambia genome assembly, scaffold: SMTD_scaffold0001416
AUCCAGGUGACGAGUCCCACAUAGGACGAGACGCGUGUCGUGGAU